UCCAAUUUUGCUGAUCACGCACGCAAUUUUUCCUCUCUAACUUUCCCACGGGUGUUGCUGUACGUGUUUUCAAAGUUCCCGGCUUACCCACCCUCUAGAAUGUGCCAUGACCUUACCUACACAAUAAGGUGAAAAGCAUGCCUGAUAUCUCACAAACACCACCUUUGGAAUUCGGCGCUUCUUGUUCUUCUGCAUAUUUUCGCCCAAUCUCUCUAUGACACAUCGUUUCUGACAGACCACACCCAAAGUUUGUACCCAGGUGUUUGGAACUAUUUUGAUAAAAGCCAUGCCAUUAUACCCUGAAGAUUAUUGUUGAACAACACGUUUUGCACAUUUUGGAAACGAUCACUUAUAUUCUGGUAUUCCUCACCUUAGCGUUUUUACAGACGCUCGUAUGACGACUCCAUAUUGUUGUUAAUGGUGUGCGCGAAGUGUGUAUAAUUGGGGUUGGGACUGAAAUCACGCUGUCAGUGCCCAUUUUAUACCUGUGCGUCGCCUGGAGCUAAAGUCAGCAUUGAACCGGCGUGGUCAGGAAUGUGCAGUAUUCUGGGGUGACAGGAGUGGCGUUGUCAUGACUCGUGAAUCUCUUCUCUAACUUGGACUGACCGCUGUUCAGAGGAGAUCAUCAGUUCUCAGCAGAACGUGUUCAACAGGAGAACAAAGAUGGCGGAUCCGGACAUUCUGACCUUCAUCGUCACCGCCUGUCUUAUCUCACAAUACAACACUGCAGAUGCCGCUGCACUCGAUGUGACUCUCUUGAGCUCCAAACAUUUUCUGGAUGACUCGUCCGUGACGGAGUUUCUGUGCCGAGCGCCAGUGAACACCAUCACACAGCACAGCUUCCCAUCUGAGUCACCCAACUCCAGGCCGAUCAAGAGGGAGGGUGGAACAGGGCCGGGAAAUCCGUUUACUGUAGCCUCAAGCGAAAGGGUAAUUUGGACUUAUGAGAAUGAUAUUUCUUUAGACAUUUAAAGCUAACACAAAUACUUGA